rnacentral:rRNA from 1 species
UAGGGAAUCUUCCGCAAUGGGCGAAAGCUUGACGGAGCAACGCCGCGUGAGUGAUGAAGGUCUUCGGAUCGUAAAACUCUGUUAUUAGGGAAGAACAAAUGUGUAAGUAACUAUGCACGUCUUGACGGUACCUAAUCAGAAAGCCACGGCUAACUACGUGCCAGCAGCCGCGGUAAUACGUAGGUGGCAAGCGUUAUCCGGAAUUAUUGGGCGUAAAGCGCGCGUAGGCGGUUUUUUAAGUCUGAUGUGAAAGCCCACGGCUCAACCGUGGAGGGUCAUUGGAAACUGGAAAACUUGAGUGCAGAAGAGGAAAGUGGAAUUCCAUGUGUAGCGGUGAAAUGCGCAGAGAUAUGGAGGAACACCAGUGGCGAAGGCGACUUUCUGAUCUGUAACUGACGCUGAUGUGCGAAAGCGUGGGGAUCAAACAGG